CUGGUAGGCUUGUCCCUCGCCGCCCGCCGUAGCCCGGCGCUCGGCCGGUUGCCGUCUCCAAGAUGGCCGCUGCGCGCACGGCUCCUGCGGCGGGCUAGAGGCGGAGGCGGAGCCGAGUCACUCCCGCACUUCGGGCUCCGGUCCCCCGCGCCAGGCUGCAGCUUACUGCCCGCCGCGGCCAUGCGGGGCUCUGUGCACGGAUGAGAGAAGCUGCCGCCGAGCUGGCCCCCCCUCCCGCCCUCGCCGUCACCUCCGCCGCCGCCAUGGAGGAGCCGCCGCCGGGGCCGCCGCCGGAACCCGAGCCCAAGCCCGAAUGCUACCCGGCGGCGAGGCAAGAGUGCACCUCGGGGGACUCAGCUUGCAAGAGUCCCGAGUCCGAUCCGGAAGACUUCUCAGAUGAAACAAAUACAGAGAAUCUUUAUGGCACCUCUCCCCCUAGCACACCACGACAGAUGAAGCGCAUGUCAGCCAAGCACCAGAGGAACAGUGUUGGGAGGCCGGCCAGUCGAUCCAAUCUGAAAGAAAAAAUGAAUGCACCAAAUCUGCCUCCACAUAAAGACACUGGAAAAACAGUGGAGAAUGUGGAAGAGUAUAGCUAUAAGCAGGAGAAAAAGAUCCGAGCAACUCUUAGAACAACAGAGCGUGAUCAUAAAAAAAAUGCACAGUGCUCUUUUAUGUUAGACUCAGUGGGUGGGUCUUUGCCAAAAAAAUCAAUUCCAGAUGUGGAUCUCAAUAAGCCUUACCUCAGCCUUGGCUGUAGCAAUGCUAAGCUUCCGGUAUCUGUGCCCAUGCCUAUAGCCAGACCGACACGCCAGACUUCUAGAACUGACUGUCCGGCAGACCGCUUAAAAUUUUUUGAAACAUUACGACUUUUGCUAAAGCUUACCUCAGUCUCGAAGAAGAAGGACAGGGAGCAAAGAGGACAAGAAAACACGUCUGCUUUCUGGUUUAACCGAUCUAAUGAACUGAUCUGGUUAGAGCUUCAAGCCUGGCAUGCAGGACGGACCAUUAAUGACCAGGACUUCUUUUUAUAUACAGCCCGUCAAGCCAUACCAGAUAUUAUCAAUGAAAUCCUUACUUUCAAAGUUAAUUAUGGGAGCUUUGCCUUUGUUAGAAAUGGAGCUAGUUUUAAUGGUACUUCAGUAGAAGGGCAGUGCAAAGCCCCUCAUGGAGCAAAGACUGUGGGUUACUCAACAUAUCAUGAGCAUCUCCAACGCCAGAGGGUCUCAUUUGAGCAGGUAAAGCGGAUAAUGGAACUGCUAGAGUACAUAGAAGCACUUUAUCCAUCACUGCAGGCUCUUCAAAAGGACUAUGAAAAAUACGCUGCAAAAGACUUCCAGAACAGGGUGCAGGCACUCUGUUUGUGGCUGAAUAUCACAAAAGACUUAAAUCAGAAACUAAGGAUUAUGGGCACUGUUUUGGGCGUCAAGAAUUUAUCAGACAUUGGCUGGCCAGUGUUUGAAAUCCCUUCCCCUCGACCAUCCAAAGGUAAUGAGCCGGAUUAUGAGGGUGACGACACAGAAGGAGAAUUGAAGGAGCUGGAAAGUAGUACGGAUGAGAGUGAAGAAGAGCAAGCCUCUGAUCCCUGGGUACCGGAAGUCAGACAGCCCAUAAACAACAGUUUUGACUUCCAGUUGCAGGACUGUGUAUCCAAGAAGCUGGAGAGGCUCCAAUCUGAGGAUGAUUCUGUUGGCUGGGGAGCACCAGACUGCAGCACAGAUGCAGGCUUUGGUAGACAUUGUCUGACUUCUAUUUAUAGGCCAUUUGUAGACAAAGCACUGAAGCAGAUGGGGUUAAGAAAGUUAAUUUUAAGACUUCACAAGCUAAUGGAUGGUUCCUUGCAAAGGGCACGUAUAGCAUUGGUAAAGAAUGAUCGUCCAGUGGAGUUUUCUGAAUUUCCAGAUCCCAUGUGGGGUUCAGAUUAUGUGCAGCUGUCAAGGACACCGCCUUCCUCUGAGCAGAAAUGCAGUGCCGUGUCAUGGGAGGAGCUGAAGGCCAUGGACUUACCUUCAUUCGAACCUGCCUUCCUAGUCCUCUGCCGAGUCCUUCUGAAUGUCAUACAUGAGUGUCUGAAACUAAGAUUGGAGCAGAGACCUGCUGGAGAACCAUCUCUCUUGAGUAUUAAGCAGCUGGUGCGAGAGUGUAAGGAGGUCCUGAAGGGCGGCCUGCUGAUGAAACAGUACUACCAGUUCAUGCUGCAGGAGGUCCUGGAUGACCUGGGAAAGCCCGACUGCAACAUCGACGCCUUUGAGGAGGAUCUGCAUAAAAUGCUGAUGGUAUAUUUUGAUUACAUGAGAAGCUGGAUCCAAAUGCUACAGCAGUUACCUCAAGCGUCCCAUAGUUUAAAAAACCUGUUAGAAGAAGAAUGGAAUUUCACCAAAGAGAUCACACAUUACAUACGGGGAGGAGAAGCACAGGCCGGAAAGCUUUUCUGUGAUAUCGCAGGAAUGCUGCUGAAAUCUACCGGGAGUUUUUUAGAGUUUGGCCUGCAGGAGAGCUGUGCUGAGUUUUGGACCAGUGCUGACGACAGCAGUGCUUCGGAUGAGAUCAGGAGGUCUGUUAUAGAGAUUAGCCGAGCCCUGAAGGAGCUUUUUCAUGAAGCCAGAGAAAGAGCUUCAAAGGCACUGGGAUUCGCUAAGAUGUUGAGGAAGGACUUGGAAAUCGCGGCAGAAUUUGUACUUUCAGCCCCAGUAAGAGACCUCCUGGAUGUUCUGAAAUCAAAACAGUAUGUUAAGGUGCAGAUUCCUGGGUUGGAAAACUUGCAAGUGUUUGUUCCAGACCUUCUUGCUGGGGAGAAAAGCAUUAUUUUGAAAUUACUCAAUGCAGCUGCAGGAAAGGACUGUUCGAAAGACUCAGAUGACGUACUCAUUGAUGCCUAUCUCCUCCUGGCCAAGCAUGGUGACCGGGCUCGAGAUUCAGAGGACAGCUGGGGCUCAUGGGAAGCACAGCCUGUCAAGAUUGUGCCCCAGGUGGAGACGGUUGACACCCUGAGAAGCAUGCAGGUGGAUAAUCUUUUACUAGUUGUCAUGCAGUCUGCCCAUCUCACGAUUCAGAGAAAAGCUUUCCAGCAGUCCAUUGAGGGACUCAUGACUCUAUGCCAGGAGCAGACAUCCAGUCAGCCGGUCAUCGCCAAAGCUCUGCAGCAGCUGAAGAAUGAUGCAUUAGAGCUGUGCAACAGAAUAAGCAAUGCCAUUGACCGCGUGGACCACAUGUUCACAUCAGAAUUUGAUGCUGAAGUUGAUGAAUCUGAAUCUGUCACGCUGCAGCAGUAUUACCGGGAAGCAAUGAUUCAGGGGUACAAUUUUGGGUUUGAGUAUCAUAAAGAAGUUGUUCGUUUGAUGUCUGGAGAAUUCAGACAGAAGAUAGGAGACAAAUAUAUAAGCUUUGCCCGGAAAUGGAUGAAUUAUGUCCUGACUAAAUGUGAGAGUGGUAGAGGCACAAGGCCCAGGUGGGCAACUCAAGGAUUUGAUUUUCUGCAAGCAAUUGAACCUGCCUUUAUUUCAGCUUUACCAGAAGACGACUUCUUGAGUUUACAAGCCUUGAUGAAUGAAUGUAUUGGCCAUGUCAUAGGAAAACCACACAGUCCUGUUACAGGUUUGUACCUUGCCAUCCAUCGGAACAGCCCCCGUCCUGUGAAGGUUCCUCGAUGCCAUAGUGACCCUCCUAACCCACAUCUCAUUAUCCCAACUCCAGAGGGAUUCAGCACUCGGAGCGUGCCUUUGGACGCACGGAGCCACGGCAGCCCUGCUGCUGCCUCUGCUGCUGCUGCUACUGCUGCUGCUGUCGCCAGUCGCCCCGGCCCCUCUGGCGGUGACUCUGCACCACCCAAACCCGUCAGCAGUGCCCAUGAUACCAGGGGUUCCAGCGUCCCUGAAAAUGAUCGAUUGGCUUCCAUAGCUGCUGAACUGCAGUUUAGGUCCCUGAGUCGUCACUCGAGCCCCACGGAGGAGCGAGACGAACCGGCAUAUCCAAGAGGGGACUCAAGUGGGUCAGCACGAAGAAGCUGGGAACUUCGCACACUUAUCAGCCAGACUAAAGAUAGUGCUUCUAAACAAGGACCCAUAGAAGCUAUCCAGAAGUCAGUUCGAUUGUUUGAGGAAAAGAGGUAUCGAGAAAUGAGGAGAAAGAAUAUCAUUGGUCAAGUUUGUGAUACGCCUAAAUCCUAUGAUAAUGUCAUGCAUGUUGGUCUGAGGAAGGUGACCUUCAAGUGGCAAAGAGGAAACAAAAUUGGAGAAGGCCAGUAUGGGAAGGUCUAUACCUGCAUCAGUGUCGAUACUGGGGAGCUGAUGGCUAUGAAGGAGAUUCGAUUUCAGCCUAAUGACCAUAAGACUAUCAAGGAAACUGCAGAUGAACUGAAAAUAUUUGAAGGCAUCAAGCACCCCAAUCUGGUUCGGUAUUUUGGUGUGGAGCUCCAUAGAAGCACAGUAACUUUGCCUAAUUCUCAGGAAAUCUCCAUGAGUUACAUCAUUUCUGCCUUCUCUCUGAAACUAGAGGAGUUCUUCCUAAAAUGAAGAAAUGUACAUCUUCAUGGAGUACUGUGACGAGGGCACGUUAGAGGAGGUGUCGCGGCUGGGGCUGCAGGAGCAUGUUAUCAGGCUGUACUCGAAACAGAUCACCAUCGCCAUCAACGUCCUCCAUGAGCAUGGCAUAGUUCACCGUGACAUUAAAGGUGCCAAUAUUUUCCUUACCUCUUCUGGACUCAUCAAACUGGGAGAUUUUGGAUGUUCAGUAAAGCUUAAAAACAAUGCCCAGACCAUGCCUGGUGAAGUGAAUAGCACACUGGGGACAGCAGCAUACAUGGCACCCGAAGUCAUCACUCGUGCCAAAGGAGAAGGCCACGGGCGUGCGGCUGACGUCUGGAGUCUGGGCUGUGUUGUCAUAGAGAUGGUGACUGGCAAGAGGCCUUGGCAUGAGUAUGAACACAACUUCCAGAUUAUGUAUAAAGUGGGAAUGGGGCAUAAGCCCCCCAUCCCCGAGAGAUUAAGCCCUGAAGGGAAGGAUUUCCUUUCUCACUGUCUCGAGAGUGACCCAAAGAUGAGGUGGACAGCCAGCCAGCUCCUCGACCAUUCGUUUGUCAAGGUUUGCACAGAUGAAGAAUGAAGCCUAGUGGCAUAUGGACUUGGAAGUUCUCGUAAUCACUACUGUAUGUAAUAUUUACAUGAAGACUGUGCUGAGAAGCAGUAUAAGCCUUUUUAACCUUCCGAGACUGAAGACUGCACAGGUGACAAGCGUCACUUCUCCUGCUGCUCCUGUUUGUCUGACGUGGCACAGGGCCCUCUGGAGGGCUGGUGACCACAAGGUUGAAGAAGCUGCAUGUUAAGUGCCAUUACUACUGUCCACAGACCAUCGCCUCCGUCUCCUCCGUGUCUUGCGUGACUGAGAACCGUGACAUCAGCAUAGUGUUUUUGACCUUUCUAGGUUCAAAAGAAGUUGUAGUGUUAUCAGGCGUCCCGGACUUUGUUUUUAAUCUCCUGUUUGUCGAGUGCACUGACUGUGAAACCUUACCUUUUUGUUGUUGUUGGCAAGCUGCAGGUAUGUUAUGCAAAAGGCUGAUUAAUGAAAUUUGAGGAAAAGUUUCUUUUUUCAAUAAAUGGUUUAUUUUAGGAAAGCUCA